rnacentral:rRNA from 1 species
CAGCAGCCGCGGGAACACGUAGGUGGCAAGCGUUGUCCGAAGUUACUGGGCGUAAAGAGCGCGUAGGCUGGUCUUUAAGUGAGUGGUGAAAGGUUCGGGCUCAACCCGGACACUGCCUUUCAUACUGGGGACCUUGAGUGUGGGAGAGGCGAGUGGAAUGGUCGGUGUAGCGGUGAAAUGCGUAGAUAUCGAUCGGAACACCCAUGGCGAAGGCAGCUCGCUGGCCUAACACUGACGCUGAGGCGCGAAGGCGUGGGGAGCAAACAGGAUUAGAUACCCGAGUAGUCCCUGUCUCUUAUAC